GUCUUGGCAUGGCGGCACGCCUCUCCCGGCUGCGCCGGCCGCCUCAGCCCCCCUCUCACCCCAACUAGCUGCGGUCGGUCCUCGAUUGUCUGUGUACAUGCCAACCAGCUGAUAUGCUCGAGGAGAUAUUUCGAGCUUUCUCGUCUGGUGGCUCCUCUGUCGACUCCGUCCCCGUGCAUCGGCCUCGAGCUGGGCGUCUCCUGUGUGGCACCUUAAUGCUGCAUCGUAAUGCUGAUCUUCCAGUAAGAACCCCCUGCUCUGGCCGAUCGGCACAGCUUAGGCAGUUGGAGGCGAGUGGUUCUCGUCUGUGUUCCUAUCUGCAACGAAGCAAUGCAAGAUAUGGCAUGAAGGAUUGGAAAUGGAGGACGAGCAGGCACUGGCCAGGCCAUGGACUAUGUGUUUCCCUGUGUGUUGCUGUUCGAUCCUGAUGAUCUCAAAGUGCGAGCGCUGCAGUGUUUCGGACGAGAAUCCGGAACGUGUUCUCGUUUUUCCGCACACUAGAAAAUCUGGACUGCCGAGAUUUUUCCGGAAAAUUUAACGCCAGACUCUCUCGUCGGCGGUACGGUGCUCGCACGAUGUUUGUCUCUUAGGAAAACCUGCCCGCAUGCUCUGCGCAACGAAAGAAAGAAUUCAGCUGCUCGUCUUAACGUUUCUCGAUUCCAACAUUCAGCUUUGCCUCCGUGUCAAUUUUCCGCCUGUGCAAGACACGAAUUUUUCUCCUACUAGGAGCUGCUGCACGCCAGCUCCAGGGCAAUCGAUCUUGAGGCGGUUAAAGCGCUCGGCAGGCGAUCACAUUGAACAACCAACCAC
rnacentral:lncRNA from 1 species